UACGGGGGGUGCGAGCGUUGUCCGGAAUCACUGGGCGUAAAGGGCGCGUAGGUGGUUUGAUAAGGGUGUGGUGAAAGCCCGGGGCUCAACCCCGGGUCUGCCGUGCCGACUGUUAAACUCGAGGGCUGUAGAGGCAGACGGAAUUCCGGGUGUAGCGGUGGAAUGCGUAGAGAUCGGAGGAAGACCGGUGGCGAAGGCGGUCUGCUGGGCAGUUUCUGACACUGAUGCGCGACAGCGUGGGGAGCAAACAGG
rnacentral:rRNA from 1 species